rnacentral:rRNA from 1 species
ACAGAGGGUGCGAGCGUUAAUCGGAAUUACUGGGCGUAAAGGGUGCGUAGGUGGUUCAAUAAGUCAGAUGUGAAAUCCCCGGGCUCAACCUGGGCACUGCAUUUGAAACUGUUGGACUAGAGUAUGGUAGAGGGAAGUGGAAUUUCCGGUGUAGCGGUGAAAUGCGUAGAUAUCGGAAGGAACAUCAGUGGCGAAGGCGGCUUCCUGGACCAAAACUGACACUGAGGCACGAAAGCGUGGGGAGCAAACAGG